UCUCUCUCUGUGUUCUCUCCAUCUCAGGGAGUCCGCGUGCGUCUGCGUCGGCGCUGCCCUUUGGGUCUCCGUCUCUGCUGCAGCAGCCCAACCCCUACUUCCCCCACCCCAGCAUCCGCUACCACCCCCCAGGACCCGCUCAAGGAGUUCGUCCAGUUCGUCUGCGCCGACGGCAGCCAGGCGUCCCAGUCCAACAGCAGUGGUCAGUCUAAGCCUCCAGGCUCCUACCUGCUCCCCCCACCACCCCCCUCGUUGGCACGCCCCGUGCCCCUCCCCCCGCCCGACUCUAAGGUGGGCUCUUCCGCCACCCACCAGGGCGACGCCAGCGUACCACUCACCCCCUCAUACUCCCCGUCAGGGUCCUCAGCUCCCAGCCGGAUUGUCGGCAUCGGAGCACGGGACAACCUUCUGAGCAUCUCACAACAAACACAGUCCUGGUUCCUCUGACAGCUCCUGGUCACUGGAUCACUCGACAGCAACCUUCUCCUCCCUCUUAGCCCCCAGAACCAGUCAGCAGUACAGAACCGAUACAGUCUCCGUAGAAACGAUCCCAACACAGAACGCCGAGAAACCAGAACCUAGUCUGGGACCUCACCCACCAACCCACAGCAGAACUCCCGGCUACAUCCCCGGAACGUCAUCAUCAUCAUCAUCACCAUCACUUCCUUCUCCGCCCGUUUCGCCACUUCGAAUAUCAAAAUCUCCAACAUCGGGAUCAGGAUCACCAUCGCCACCACCACCAUCAUGAUCAGCAUCGCCGUCAGCAACGUCUUCAUCAUCAUCAUCAUCAUCAUCAUCAUCAUCUCCGCCAUCAGAGGGAAAUGGCUCCAUGGACACACACAGCAGGAGCGAGAACAGAACACUACUGGUGGGCGACGGUCAUGUGACCAAGUCAUGUGACCACCACCCAUCAAGCAGGAAGCAAGAAGAAGAAGAAGGCUAAGAAUGGCCUUCUAAAAAAAAAGAAAAUAGUGUAAAAAAAAAUAUCCUCCUUGAAAAAAAAAAUGACAAAAGCUGACAAAAACGGCCCUUCUCUCUUUUUAUUAUUAUUGUUACUAUUAUUGUUGUUGUGUUUUAUAUAUCUGUUGUCAUAUUGUAGCCAUGCAGUUAGGCGAUAGGACUCCUCUGUGCCCAAGUUUCCCACCAAAUUGCAGUUCACAGUAAUAGGGUUCUCUGUAGAAACAAAACCAGCUCACCAGGGUUGUAGGCCCACCCACCAGCCAGAGUUAUGCACCCCAUUGGUUAAGCCCAGAUUCCACUGCCAUCUGAUUAGUUAAGCUCCCAUGACCCUUUUGGAUUGGUCAGUCAUGAUGACACUCCUUUGUUACUCACUAGUCACUCUUUGGCUGCCUGUUGGCAUUGUUUACUAAGCAGGUUUGAUUUACCUGCGUAAAUCCAAAUUUUUGAAUUUGGACCGUGAAUUUUUCAUAAUUCAACACGGGUUAUAACUCUGUUGACUUUCUAUUCACCUUCCCUGGCCUUUAGCUUCGAACAAAUCAUCACUGUGUGUACCAAAAUCAUCGUUAGUCUAGUCAGAGUCAACACUAAAGAACUGUAACACUAUCAAAAUCAUGUGCAAUCUCUUCCACUAUCUUCGCUUGAACUGACAAAGCCAGACAUCUGAUGGAGGGAGAGAAAGAAAGAGAGAGAGAGAGAUAGAGAGAGAGA